AAAUAGACCGUUUGAUGUGUACAUCACCUCCCAUCGAAUGCUGUGAAUAGAAAUACAGUAAUUAAAGUGAUAAGUGUGCAUACAACAAUUGAAUUCUAUUUUAACAUAAUCCUAAUACUUCAGCAAAUGAAAAUUUAUUUAUUAUUUAUCACUCAUAAAUUGCUAAAAUGAUAACAUUGUCGAGACAUCAAACACUUGAACAAAGAAAUACCUUGGAAUAAAACUAGUCGAUCUUAAGAUGCAUAAUAAGAUAUUUAGAGCUUGGAAUGCUUCAGUACAAAAAAGAAAGCUACUCUCAAUUUAUUUGCAGGAAGCUUCUGUCUGAGAUUGUUGGCUAAUUUAUCAGCUAAAGUUAUAGAUUCUACGCAGAAUAUGGUAUCCUCUGGGCCAUUCUUUCAGCAAGCCAUGGCCUUUCUGGAUCAGGGUCAAUGAAAAGAUGAAUGAGAAACUGUCCUGCUUCUUCUUCCAUCAGUUCUCUGGCCCAUGUCACUCGCUUUGACGGGCAACUACCUGGUCCAUAACACCUGCAUUUCCAAUUAAUGCAAUCAAAUUACAUAAAAACAUCUAUUAACUAGUGCUACAGGAAGAAAAGAAACUAAUUAGUGGCUUUUCAGGAGCCUCUACAGACAAGGACUUUUGUGAUUAGUUAACACAAGGUAAACCAAACCGGUGGUGGAAGAAAUCAGGGAAAGACUGAAUCAGUGUUGGGUAUCCAUCCCCGCUUCUUCAAUUUUUCUUCAUUGGGUACAAAACAGAAAAGAAAUCAUCUCUCAAAAUAGUACUUUCAAAUAUCAUCCAAAAUACCCUAGACCUAGGCCUGCUAAAGUCAGAUCACAUAUUUCAUUGGAAGAAAAUGUAUUAAUUCAUUUUAAAAAGUUUCAUAUUAACAAUUGCUCUCCAAAAAUCCAAAGUGACAGAACUGCCAAAAAAAAAAAUUAUUUAACUAAAUAUACCUGUACUCAUAAAAGCAAGCACUUCUCUCAUUCUCAGCUUUGCCCCAGUUAUUCCAGCCUACAUGUCUGACACAUUGAUCCAUAUAUGUAUAUGCAAAGACCACCCUUCCAAAGGGUCCCCAUGGCCGUCCAAGAUAUGCAUAUGAAGUCCCUCCAUUACCUGUGAUCACACAUCUGCAGAAAUGCUGAACUUAUUAAAAAACAGAAAAUAAGGUAUACCAAACAUGAUAUAAACAGAAAAUGCAGUACUCUGUGUGGGACUGUGGGGUGAAAAAUCUGUGUGGGGUGAAAAAAACUGCUAGAUUUAACAAGGGAAAAAAAAAUGUUAUGAUGUGUGUUAUAAAACCAUUGUACUUCAUUUGGGCAGAAUCUACAUUCUAUGAUGCCCAUACCCUUCAAACUUAACCUCGAAAUAUCAGUGUCUGAAUCUUGGACACAUACCCUCACAGGAUUCGAGCAAACUGUCCAUCUUAAAUAGGUUUUUGGAAGUAAAAUCAUAUUUUUGGGCAACAAAGAACAGUAUAAAUUUAACUUCAUAAUACAAUAAAACUAGGUAAAUAUCCUGCUUAGCAACUAAGCAUAUGCUUGUUGUCCAGACAAAGUGAGAGGAAAACAAUAAUUAAUUAACAAAAAGUGUGAUUUAUAAGUUUAUUUCCAAAGUAAAAAGCUAUAUAAAAAAUGUAACUCUUCACAACUCCAGCUCGGGUAAUAAAACCCAAAAAAUGGCGUGAUUAACUUUUAAGUUCAAAUUGGACAUUCUUUUACCCCCUCCAAAGAAUGUUAAUGCAACGAUAUAAACACAUAGAGAUAAUUCAAAAUGCCAACUUAAAUCCACAAAUUAUAACCAUUUGGACUCUGGAGACAAUUGUAUAAAUUUCAAUUUAAUACUCAGUUCUACACAAGCACUACCUCAUAUAUCAUUCAGUUGAAUUCAUGAUAACCAAAUGAAGGAUAUAGAUGCACAGACAAAGACCUAUAUACAACUUAUGUCAAGUACUUUACCCAGUAUUAGUUAAAGUGUUAAAGCCAGUUCAUCUUAAUUCAAUGUUGGUUGAUAUAAUUACCAUUAAGAACAUGAAUGCUAUUUAAAAAGCAAAAUAUUAUUUAACUCCUAUUGCAAAGCCCAGAUCAGAAGCUUAUAGGGAGGCAAAAAUAUAAGGAAAGGGAAAGGAAAGAGAGUGAGUGAAAGUCAAUCAAUCGCACACCUCAAGAACACAUAACCAGUUGACUCCUGAGAAGAUUUUCUGCUUUGUGCAGUUAUGAAACCUGCAGACUUGCAGUGGAUAUGACAAUGCUCCAAGAGGGCGGUGCUGUUCCCAAAAAUGAAGUCCACACUUCCUUCAAUAUAGCAAUCUUUCAGAUACUGUUUUCCAUAGUGAAGAUACAGAGUAUCCUGCAUAACAAUUCUAUAAGACGGUAUGUCGGGCCACAAUGCCUAUGCAGUUUAUUAACUGUAAGUAUUCAUUGCCUCAAUUUACGGACACAAAAGUGUUUAGCGAUAUUAAUCUGAAAAAUUUUGGAUACAACAUAUCCUUGACCAGAAGCCCCAAAAUUUGAGAGUAUUAUCCAAGAAGUUCCUAAAAAAAAAAAAAAUGCAAAUGAG
rnacentral:misc_RNA from 1 species